rnacentral:rRNA from 1 species
AGAGUUUGAUCCUGGCUCAGGAUCAACGCUGGCGAUGUGUAUAAUACAUGCAAGUCGAGCGCGUCACUUGUGACGAGCGGCGAACGGCUGAGUAACACGUUGGUAGUUGCCCCGCACUCAGGUAUAACAUUUAGAAAUAAAUGCUAAUACCGGAUAGUCCCGAAAGGGUAAAGUUUUUUCGGUUCGGGAGGCGCCUGCGGCCUAUCAGCUUGUUGGUGAGGUAAAAGCUCACCAAGGCUAUGACGGGUAGCUGGUCUGAGAGGAUGACCAGCCAGAAUGGGACUGAGACACGGCCCAUACUCCUACGGGAGGCAGCAGUAAAGAAUCUUCCACAAUGGGCGAAAGCCUGAUGGAGCAAUACCGCGUGAAGGAUGAAUGUCGAAAGAUUGUAAACUUCUUUUCUGGGGGAAGAAUUAUGACGGUACCUCAGGAAUAAGCACCGGCUAACUACGUGCCAGCAGCCGCGGUAAUACGUAGGGUGCAAGCGUUAUUCGGAAUUAUUGGGCGUAAAGCGUCCGCAGGCGGUUGAUUAAGUUGAAUAUUAAAUCUUGGGGCCCAACUUCAAGGCUGUGUUCAAAACUGGUCAACUAGAGACUCUCAGAGGUGCGCGGAAUUCUGUGUGUAGGGGUAAAAUCCGUAGAUACACAGAGGAACACCAAAAGCGAAGGCAGCGUACUGGGAGAGUUCUGACGCUCAUGGACGAAAGCGUGGGGAGCGAACGGGAUUAGAUACCCCGGUAGUCCACGCCGUAAACGAUGGAUACUAGGUGUUGGGGGGCUCGACCCCUUCAGUGCCGACGCUAACGCAUUAAGUAUCCCGCCUGGGGAGUACGGUCGCAAGACUAAAACUCAAAGGAAUAGACGGGGACCCACACAAGCGGUGGAGCAUCUGGCUUAAUUUGAUAAUGAGCAAGGAACCUUACCUGGACUUGACAUCCCGAGAACGCUUUGGAAACAAGGAAGUGCCUUCUGGAACUCGGUGACAGGUGCUGCAUGGUUGUCGUCAGCUCGUGCCUUGAGGUGUUCGGUUAAGUCCGUGAACGAGCGCAACCCAUGUCUUAUGUUGUAUUUCUCAUAAGAGACUGCCGGUUCUAAGCCGGAGGAAGGUAUGGAUGACGUCAAAUCAGCAUGGCCCUUAUGUCCAGGGCUGCACAGGUGCUACAAUGGGUGGUACAACGGGUAGCAAUGUCGUAAGGCGGAGCCAAUCCUUAAAGCCACUCUUAGUUCGGAUUGAGGGCUGAAAUUUGCCCUCAUGAAGUUGGAAUCGCUAGUAAACGCGCAUCAGCAAUGGCGCGUUGAAUAUGUUCCUGGGUCUUGUACUCACCGCCCGUCACACUAUGGAAGGUGGGGGCGCCCGAAGUACCCUUAGCUUUUAGCGGGGUCCUAAGGCGAAACUACUGACUGGAGUGAAGUCGUAACAAGGUAACC